rnacentral:rRNA from 3 species
GAAUGCUGACAUAAGUAACGAUAAAGCGGGUGAAAAGCCCGCUCGCCGGAAGACCAAGGGUUCCUGUCCAACGUUAAUCGGGGCAGGGUGAGUCGACCCCUAAGGCGAGGCCGAAAGGCGUAGUCGAUGGGAAACGGGUUAAUAUUCCCGUACUUGGUGUUACUGCGAAGGGGGGACGGAGAAGGCUAUGUUGGCCGGGCGACGGUUGUCCCGGUUUAAGCGUGUAGGUGUGUGUUCCAGGUAAAUCCGGUUCACUUUAACACUGAGGCGUGACGACGAGGCACUACGGUGCUGAAGCAACAAAUGCCCUGCUUCCAGGAAAAGCCUCUAAGCAUCAGGUAACAUCAAAUCGUACCCCAAACCGACACAGGUGGUCAGGUAGAGAAUACCAAGGCGCUUGAGAGAACUCGGGUGAAGGAACUAGGCAAAAUGGUGCCGUAACUUCGGGAGAAGGCACGCUGACACGUAGGUGAAGUGAUUUACUCAUGGAGCUGAAGUCAGUCGAAGAUACCAGCUGGCUGCAACUGUUUAUUAAAAACACAGCACUGUGCAAACACGAAAGUGGACGUAUACGGUGUGACGCCUGCCCGGUGCCGGAAGGUUAAUUGAUGGGGUCAGCGCAAGCGAAGCUCCUGAUCGAAGCCCCGGUAAACGGCGGCCGUAACUAUAACGGUCCUAAGGUAGCGAAAUUCCUUGUCGGGUAAGUUCCGACCUGCACGAAUGGCGUAAUGAUGGCCAGGCUGUCUCCACCCGAGACUCAGUGAAAUUGAACUCGCUGUGAAGAUGCAGUGUACCCGCGGCAAGACGGAAAGACCCCGUGAACCUUUACUAUAGCUUGACACUGAACAUUGAGCCUUGAUGUGUAGGAUAGGUGGGAGGCUUUGAAGCGUGGACGCCAGUCUGCGUGGAGCCGACCUUGAAAUACCACCCUUUAAUGUUUGAUGUUCUAACGUGGACCCGUGAUCCGGGUUGCGGACAGUGUCUGGUGGGUAGUUUGACUGGGGCGGUCUCCUCCUAAAGAGUAACGGAGGAGCACGAAGGUUGGCUAAUCCUGGUCGGACAUCAGGAGGUUAGUGCAAUGGCAUAAGCCAGCUUGACUGCGAGCGUGACGGCGCGAGCAGGUGCGAAAGCAGGUCAUAGUGAUCCGGUGGUUCUGAAUGGAAGGGCCAUCGCUCAACGGAUAAAAGGUACUCCGGGGAUAACAGGCUGAUACCGCCCAAGAGUUCAUAUCGACGGCGGUGUUUGGCACCUCGAUGUCGGCUCAUCACAUCCUGGGGCUGAAGUAGGUCCCAAGGGUAUGGCUGUUCGCCAUUUAAAGUGGUACGCGAGCUGGGUUUAGAACGUCGUGAGACAGUUCGGUCCCUAUCUGCCGUGGGCGCUGGAGAACUGAGGGGGGCUGCUCCUAGUACGAGAGGACCGGAGUGGACGCAUCACUGGUGUUCGGGUUGUCAUGCCAAUGGCACUGCCCGGUAGCUAAAUGCGGAAGAGAUAAGUGCUGAAAGCAUCUAAGCACGAAACUUGCCCCGA